GUGCCAGCAGCCGCGGUAAGACGUACUGCGCGAACGUUAUUCGGAAUCACUGGGCUUAAAGGGUGCGCAGGCGGCUUCUCAAGCCCGUGGUGAAAGGCCCCGGCCCAACCGGGGACGGUCUUCGGGGACUGAGAGGCUCGGGCGACCUAGGGGUCUGUGGAACUCCCGGUGGAGCGGUGAAAUGUGUUGAGAUCGGGAGGAACGCCGGUGGCGAAAGCGACAGACUGGGGGUUUGCCGACGCUCAUGCACGAAAGCCAGGGGAGCGAACGGGAUUAGAAACCCCCGUAGUCC
rnacentral:rRNA from 1 species